UACGAAGGGUGCAAACGUUGCUCGGAAUUAUUGGGCGUAAAGCGCACGUAGGCGGCUUUGCAAGUCGGAUGUGAAAUCCCCCGGCUUAACCAAGGAAGUGCAUCCGAAACUGCAGAGCUUGAGUACUUAAGAGGAUCGCGGAAUUCCCGGUGUAGAGGUGAAAUUCGUAGAUAUCGGGAGGAACACCAGUGGCGAAGGCGGCGAUCUGGGAAGAUACUGACGCUGAGGUGCGAAAGCGUGGGGAGCAAACAGG
rnacentral:rRNA from 1 species